CUACGGGCGGCACCAGUGAGGAAUAUUGGACAAUGGUCGAAAGACUGAUCCAGCCAUGCCGCGUGCAGGAUGAAUGCCCUAUGGGUUGUAAACUGCUUUUAUACGGGAAGAACACCACCCACGUGUGGGUGACUGACGGUACCGUAAGAAUAAGGACCGGCUAACUCCGUGCCAGCAGCCGCGGUAAUACGGAGGGUCCAAGCGUUAUCCGGAAUCAUUGGGUUUAAAGGGUCCGUAGGCGGGCUAUUAAGUCAGAGGUGAAAGUUUGCAGCUCAACUGUAAAAUUGCCUUUGAUACUGGUAGUCUUGAGUUAUAGUGAAGUGGUUAGAAUAUGUGGUGUAGCGGUGAAAUGCAUAGAUAUCACAUAGAAUACCAAUUGCGAAGGCAGAUCACUAACUAUAUACUGACGCUGAUGGACGAAAGCGUGGGGAGCGAACGGGAUUAGAUACCCGGGUAGUC
rnacentral:rRNA from 1 species